rnacentral:misc_RNA from 1 species
GCGAGAGUAGUCGCGGUACAACCAGCGGAAAGGAGGAGGAAACAGCCACAGAGAAGAAACCUCAAAAACCGCUACCAAAACGACGCACGCCGCCAAGCCUGCCCUCUUCUUGUCUGUGAGACGGCGCUUCUUCGAAGCUCAUGACAUUACUCUGAAGACGUCUACCUGUUUUCACUGUUUAUCCAGUUGUACGAAAAAAAAAAAACAGGUGCGCCGAGUGCUCUCUACAUAGCGUACGGCGACAUGCAUCUUUUGGAGCGGCGGCCGAGCGCUUCGGGUGUGCUACUUGCCUUUGCCGUUGUCGUGCUCACAUGGGUGGCGGCGGCAGUGACGGCUCCCUCGCACCCCUAUGCAGCUAAUACGUCGCGCCGGUACUCAAUGAUGGUCGAAGAACUGACGGGCAGUCUCGAUGAGAGAGGCACCACCCCUACUCUGGUGUCCGUGGCAAUGGAGAUGUCUCUGACGCUGCCGGCGAAGCCUGGCGCCGCCGCGGUGUGGGAGGGCGACGCCGAGGCGAACGAAAUCGACGACGCCGCAGUCCAGCACUUGACUUUUGACGAUGACUUUGACCCAAUAUGGUACUACGUGCUGCGUCGCCGCGGCUUCGAGCGCCUUGAAUGGUGCGGGUGCGGCGGCAAGUGGCGGCCCGAGUGGUCCAUACCGAAGGCACACCAGCGCCGCGGCGGCGACGCGGCGGCACUGUCAGCCGAGCAUGAGAGUAACAGCGUUUUGUUUGGCCGUCUGCGGCGCCUUCUCGCUCACCACGCCGUUUGCACCUACUCGUCUGUCUCCUUCUGCGGCGCCAGUCACGAACGGGGCGCGGCGAGCCAGUUUCAGUGGGCCGCUCAGUUUGUGUCGACUCUGACCUCGUCGCCACUGAGCUGGACCGAAGCGACGCCCCGGCACUCGCGACCAAACGGGAUCGUCAUUCAACGCGACUCCUCACACGCUAGCGGCGGCGAGGAUGCGUACUGGUGCUCGUACCACCUCGUCUACCACGACACUCUAUGCACGCAACACGUGAGCCCUCUGCUCAACGGCGGCCGCUCCGGCCGCGGCGUGCAGGAGGGGCUGCCUCGAGGCAUCUUCAAGGCAGCGUUCCCAUCAUUCGUCAAGUACUUUGGCGCCCCGUUUCAGCAUUUCACCGUGAAGGCGACUCAAGAGCGUCUCCCUGGGAACAGCGCGGCUGCGCAGCCGCCGACGGUGCGACUGAAGGUCGAGGUUCGCAUGAGCAUGGUGGUAGGUGAGGCGUCGGACUUGGAGGCGCUGAGCGAGGUGUGGUCGCGCGAACUGCCUGCCUACGCGCGGGAUGGCCGCCUUCAGGUGCACAUCGGCCCUGGCGGGCUCUCUCAACACCUGCGCAGUGCGCUACCAACCGCGGCGAUAGUUUCGUCCCCGAACGAGGGGCAGGCGAAAGCGACGCCGCAGCGGCAGGCGUCGGCCUCCGCGAGUCCGUUGUCUCGGAUUGGCUGCUCCCCAGAGGUGCAGUACGAGGUGCGUACCCACGGCAAGGAUCACGGCUAUUUGACCGUGAAUCUACAGCCGGCUCUAGUCUUACUUGACGUCCACGCUGGGGUAGACGCUGAGAAGCGCGAGGGCUCGGACGGUGCCGACGAGGAGUCGGCGCUGCAGCACUCGUUCCUCCUCCGCGAGGGCGACGUGGUCCGCACCCUUCUGCUUUUUCCUCUGCAUCUUGUGCGCCCUUCCCUGUACAACAUGGAGUCUCUACUCGGCACCACGCGCAUUGUCCACGCUCACGCGGACGUCGUCUCCAACACGCUAGCAGUUCUCCUCGAGACGACCGUAACGCCGGUGCACGUCGCCGCCUACGAGGCCGCGUACGCGCAUGCCCGACACUGCCACGAGAUGGCCGGCGGCGGCGGCACCGGUGGCCGAGCCUGUCGCGCUCACGACGGUGUCCUGCUCGGCCGAUUCCAGCUUUUCUUCGGCUGGUCGGCGCUGGGGGAUAUGCCGCCAGACGACAACAGCAACCGACUUGUGCCGCAGCCUGUUGUGGUAAUUCGCCGCGCGGGGACCUCGGUGGACCUCGGCGCGGCGGAGACGUCAUCCCAGUCGGAUUUCUGUCACGCUCAGCGUCGCCACGUCGCUUCGGUCGGCUCUAUACCCCAGCUCGAUCACGAAGACAGCCUCGCCGCCGUCUUUCAGCUGCUCAGCCGCAGCCACGGGUGGCGGGACGACAAAAAGGGGUCCCUGUCUGCCGCGCUGGCGAAUCUCAAGGAGGAUGACGCAUGCAUUUACUGGGUGCGAUCCACCGUGUCGAGCGGGACGACGAUCCCAGGCCCUGAUGGCGCCAUGAUCUUUAAUGUGCUCUCGCUUGGGCUUUUUUUCUUGGCUGUUGCUGCAGGCAUGCUAACGCGACUGACAAGGCGCUUGACGUGCAAGAGAGAAGAUCUCGUAAAUUUACUCCCGCAGGAAGGCGCCACCACCGUCGUCAAGUGAUUCCUCUUUCCAGGACCUCCCACCCUCUCUCUCCUCACCGUCCCAGCAUGUGAAGACGGUACGAGAUCUGCACGCUUCAUCUUUUUUUUUGUUCGGCUUUUCUACGGGUCCGCGAGCCGACUAUGCACCGGUGGCUUCGUUUCGCUCCUGCGGUGCCUCGGUUUGUGGGACCGACAGGGACUGGUUGGGGGCACACGGACGCACUCUGGAGAAUGUGAGCGCCACAGUGCAAUGCGUCGCUGACGAAUAGUACCUGGUGGAGGUGUUUGUAUGUGUACAUGUGUGUGUGUGCGCGCGUGCGUCGGUGCCGUUUCGUGGUGUUCUUGCUGCUGCGUUUAUGUGGUUACUCCAAUCACACCCGCCCGUCGCUCCCGCUCACCUCCCCAUUUUUUUUUUUCGUUCCGCCCGCGUUGUUGCCCAUGUAAUCGAAGGCGCC